UAGUCUUCUGUGAUACCUCUUACGCCAAUCAAGAGGUGCAAACCGGCAAUUCAAGCCAACUUUUGCUACGUAAGUUAGGGUUAAAAGUGUCUGAUCUGGAAUAUUAUAAGAGAAGGUCGCUUGAUGUGAACCCCAAAAGGGUUACACCAGGAGGUCCAGAUGGCCAGCACCAUUUUUAUGAAGCUCCAUUGGCUCACUAGGUUUGCCAUGAUCACAUGGUGGAUCUGAUAGGUUUUAGACAUAAGAUCUUUCCUAUGUGCACAUACAACCCUAUAGCUUGGAUCUAGGUUUCUCUAAUUGAACAUGCAACAUAUCCAAGACUUUCAUGGCUAGAUCUAAUGUAAACUAACAAUCAAAACAUAUGAAAACAGAUCUAUAAUCAUACCUUGGGUUACUUGCUUGAAACCUUCUUCUUCUUGAAGCUUAGAGUCACAAUUGUCACUCCUCUAAUGGCUUACAAACACCAACUAGCAAGAAGAUGAUUUGAGAGAGGUAAGGAAGAGGGAAAUCGGCUCUAGGGUUACUCUAAUAACAAGGUGCCGAUUUCCACAACCCCAAGGGUCUAUUUAUAUUGUGAGCUCCUAGGGUUUCACCCCAAAACCCUAAUUGGAUAACUUAGCCUCAAAGCAAUCCAAUACCCCUUCUAGAUAAGGCCUUGGACGAUUUCUAGGUGAUCCACAUCCUUAAAAUCUUCCACCCCAUAUCCAUAAGGAUUCUUAGCUCAAAAUACAACUAUCACACAUUUGACAGUUUAUACCCCCUUUCUUCAAUUAAUCUCUUUAAGCCACCAAAUUAAUUCCUAAUUAAUUUAUGACUUAUAUUAAUCAAAUAAUAUUAUUAUUACUUUAACAUAUUAUUCUUAUAAUACAUUAAUUAACAAUAAUAUCUCUUCUCUCUAUAUAAAUCACCCUGUCAAGUUGUUAUGGUGAAGGCAACCCAAAAGGACCAUGCAUAAUCGGAUCAAGUACUUACUAAAUAUAGUUACAGCCUUAGACACUAAUCCAACAGUCUCCCACUUGGAUAAGUCUAGUAACUAUAAAUGCAAACACAAUCCGAUUAGCAAUCGUAGCUCUCAAAGAUGCUGUCAACUCUGAUCUUAUCAGUAACCUGUCCUUUAGACAAGGGAUCGUAUAGUCCUCUGUUUUGAUAUCGUGCAGACGAUUUCAUGAAACAUUGUCAUACUUAUUGUCCAACAACUAUUUUCUCGAUCUCAGAUUUAUUUGACAUAGAAUUUAAUUGAACACAUCAAUUCAGUCCUGACCGGGCCCGGCACAUAAGUCAAAUCAAAUCAUCGAGCGGCUGUGAUAUCGCUUUUACCCUCUUAGGAUAAAAGUAACAUAUAAACUUCAACUUAUAUGCAUUUACUUAUCGGCUAAUCAACUAUACGCAACAAUGUGUUUUAUGAAAUCAAUUUACUGAUGCGGUUUCGCAUUAUCAAUGUACAACCAAUUAGUAAAUAAUAAACCAUAUAUCUAGGUUUUAAGACCAUAUGAUAUUAUCGUCUUGCGAUCACCCCAAAGUGAUUCCAGCAAGCACGGGUUUAUUCCAAUGCUCAAAACUUGUUCAUAAGCACUCAUGAACGUUGCAGAAAACCUUUGCUAUGUAUAAUACCAUUUAGACAAUCUACACACCAAUUCAUGACAAUCUUCAUUCAUACCUACUUCCAACAUAUGAACGAUUGUGGACAGUUUGAAUAAUUCGAUUAUUCUUAAUAAACUCAAUUAUUCUGGAAGUCAAAACAUGUAAAGUGAAACAAUAGCUAAACAAUUAACAUAAGAGAGUAACUUUACUUAUAAACAAUACUCUUUUAUUUAAUCAUCAAAUGUCAAUUACAUUUACCUAUUACAUGUUUCUAAAACUAUCUAAUUUAAACUAAUAUCAUCCUUCAGCCCAAUACACCUAGCAUGCUGCAAGUGCUUAACCCUGCUCAGUCCCUUCGUAAGCGGAUCUACUGGGUUAUCUUCUGAUGAUAUCCUCUUAGCCACAACAUGUCCUUCUUCUACUCGAUGUCUAAUAAAGUGAUUUUCGUCGAUAUGUCGAGAUCUACCAUGAUCCCUCGGUUCCUUGGUCAAGGCAACCGCUCCUUCAUUAUCACAGUAAAUUUCCAUGGGCUCCUUUAUAGUAGGCACAACUCCAAGAUCGCCAAUGAAGUUCUUCAACCAUAUUGCCUCCUUUAACGCUUCGCUCACUGCAAUGUACUCUGAUUCGCACGUUGAAUCAGCUACAAUUUCCUGUUUGGAACUUUUCCAAGUUACCGCUCCUCCAUUAAGGGUAAUACCCAUCCCUACUGUGAACGGUAGUUGUCCCUGUCGGUCUGGAAACUGGCGUCACUAUACCCUCGCACCUUUAAGUCGUCACUCCCUCCGAGGACUAGAAACCAUUCCUUGGUCCUCCGAAGGUAUUUAAGGAUGUUCUUGACCGCAAUCCAAUGCUUUCUUCCAGGAUUCCCUUGAUAUCUACUGACCAUGCUCAAAACAAAGGCCACAUCAAGACGAGUACAAGUCAUAGCAUACAUGAUUCAGCCAACUGCGGAAGCGUAAUGUACUCGGCUCAUCUCAACUAUCUUGGCUUCGGUACUCGGACUUUGAGUCUUACUUAACUUUGUAUUACUUUGUAUCGGUAGUUCUCCCUUCUUCGAGUUGUCCAUACUAAAACGUUUUAGUACCUUAUCUAAGUAAGUAUUCUGACUAAGUCCUAUUAGUCUCUUACUUCUUUCAAUCACUAUCCUUAUUCCCAAAAUAUAGGAAGCCUCUCCGAGGUCCUUCAUAGCGAAGCACUUCCCGAGCCAGGACUUGACCUCCUGCAGAGUCGGGAUGUCGUUUCCUAUGAGUAGUAUGUCAUCGUCAUACAGAACGAGGAAGCUUACUAUACUCCCACUGGCUUUGACAUAUACACAUGAUUCAUCUUCGCUUCGUACAAAUCCAAACUCUUUGAAUUUCUCAUCAAAGAAAAGAUUCCAUCUGCGAGAUGCUUGCUUAAGUCCAUAUAAAUGGACUUCUCAAGCUUGCACACUCUAUUUGGAUGCUUCGGAUCGACAAAACCCUCUGGCUGAGCCAUGUAAACAUCCUCAGCCAACUUCCCAUUAAGAAAAGCGGUCUUGACAUCCAUUUGUCAUAUCUCAUAAUCAUGAAAUGCGGCAAUGGCUAGAAUCACCCUAAUAGAUUUUAUCUUACCAACUGGUGAGAAGGUCUCAUCAUAGUCAACUCCGGGAGUUUGAAUAAAGCCCUUCGCCACUAGUCGUGCCUUGUACGUGUGCACAUUCCCAUCCAUGUCGGUUUUCUUCUUGAAGAUCGAUUUGCACCCAACUGCCUUACGUUUGGGCACAUUGUCAACCAAAUUCCAAACUUGGUUGUCAUACAUGGAAUGAAUCUCGCUAUUUAUCGUCUCUUUCCAUUUUGCAGACUCCAGGCCUGCCAUGGCUUCCUUAUAGCAAUUAGGUUCAUCUAGAUUUAUUAGUGUACUAUCACUAAUAUACGUGUCCCCUUCGGUAGUAAUAUGAAAACCAUACAACUGGGGUUGAACUCUAACUCUUUCGGAACGUCUAAGAGGUAAUGACUCGUCAAUUGGUUCAACCGGAGUUUCCUCCUCGGGUUGAGCGCCAGCGUUAGAGGUUCCUUCAUCGCUCGACUCUUGAAUCUCUUCAAGAUCGAUUUGCCUCCCACUGUCUCCUUGGCUUAUGAGUUCUCUCUCUCGGAAAACCCCUCUCCUCGCAACGAAGACAACAUUGUCACUCGGUCUAUAGAAGAGAUAUCCAAAGGAUUUCUGCGGGUAGCCGAUGAAAAUACAUCGCUCACUACGAGGUUCGAGCUUGUCAUGAGUUUCUCGUCUUACGAAAACUUCACAACCCCAAACCUUGAUAUGUGCCAACGAGGGAGCUUUCCCUGUCCACAUCUCGUGAGGUGUUUUGGCAACCUUCUUUGUAGGGACUCAGUUAAGGAUAUGGGCGGCAGUCUCUAAGGCAUACCCCCAAAAUGAGAUAGGUAGUGAAGCACGAAUCAUCAUAGAACGAACCAUGUCUAACAAGGUUCGAUUGCGCCUUUCUACCACACUAUUUAACUGCGGUGUCCUAGGUGGCGUCAAUUGCGACGCUAUUCUGCAUUCCUUGAGAUAGUCGUGGAAUUCAAGACUUAGGUACUCUCCUCCUCGAUCGGAUCGAAGCAUCUUGAUUUUCCUGCCCAAUUGAUUCUCCACUUCAUUCUUGAACUCUUUGAACUUUUCAAACGUUUCAGACUUGUGCUUGAUUAAGUAAAUAUACCCAUAUCUACUAUAAUCAUCGGUGAAAGUCACGUAGAAGCGGUUUCCAUCCUUUGUGGUGGAUCUAAAGGGCCCACACACAUCGGUAUGUAUGAGAUCCAAUAAACCCUCACCCCUCUCACAAGUGCCAGUGAAGGGUGACUUGGUCAUCUUUCCAAGUAAACAAGAUUCGCACGUGUCAUCUUCCCUAAGGUCGAAUGACUCCAACACUCCAUCCUUUUGGAGUUGGGCUAUGUGUUUCUUGUUGACAUGUCCAAGACGACAAUGCCACAAAGAUGCUUUAUCCACACUAUUGGAAGAAUCCAUACACAACACAUCAUUUCCUAGGUUAUCUACAACCAUAACAGUUUCAUAAAUUCCAUUACAAGGCAUUGCUUCAAAGUAUAAAACACCAUUUAGAUAAGCAUAAAUAGAACCAUUCAUAUUAUUAAACGAAUAUCUAAAUCCUUGUCUAAACAAACCAUGAAAUGAAAUGAUGUUUCUUGCCAUAUCUGGCGAGUAGCAACAAUUAUUUAAAUCUAAACCUAAUCCAUUACUAAGCACUAAAGAAUACACUCCAAUCUUGGUGACAGGCGACGAUCUUCUAUUUCCCAUAAUUAGAUUUAUUCUUCCUUGCUCCACAUCUCUAUCUCUUCUUAGUCCCUACAAAUCAGAACAAAUUUGGUAACCACAUCCUGUAUCAAAAACCCAAGAAAUAGUAUGAGAUGAAUCAUUAGAUUUAAUUGUGUAUAUACCUGCAAAAGAUGGCUUGAUCUUUCCAUCCUUGAUGGCUUGCAGAUAUUCUGGUCAGCUUCUCUUCCAAUGCCCUAUUUUGUGGCACUGAUGGCACUCUGCCUCCUUCGGGUUAGGGUUGGGCUUAGCAGGAUCAACCUUGGUCCCACUAGAAGAGGAACCAUCUUGGGACUUUCCCUUGCGGUGGCUCUUUGACGGAGCCUUCCUCUUCUUGCCCCUUCCCUGCCCUAUAGCCAAAACAGGAGCAGCGGUUGGUGCGGGAGUUGGUGCAACAGACUUGUCCUUUAGGUUGCUCUCAGCAGUCCUUAGGAGUCCUUGGAGUUUGCUUAGGGUGACCUCUUCCUUGUUCAUGUGGUAGGUCAUCCUAAAUUGGUUGUAGCAUGAAGGCAAGGAGUGAAGAACAAUGUCGAUGGCCAAAUCCUCCCCAAAGUUAACAUUUAACUUGCGAAGACGAUCAAAAUAUCUUUGCAUCUUUUGCAAGUGUACAGUUAACGAUUCUCCACUUCCCAUCUUGGCGGUGAUCAUGUUGGUGAUGAUCUCGUAGCGCUCUUGCCUCGUGCUUUGGUGGUACCUCUCCAUCAAGUCUUGAUGCAUUUCAUAGGGAUACAUGUCCUCAUAGGACUUUUGGAAUUCUUGGUUCAUAGUGGCUAUCAUGAUGCAAUUGACUUUCAUUGCAUCACGUUCGUGUGUCUCAAAGACAACAAUCUCUUCGAGAGUAGCGAUUUCCGGGUUGACCUUCUCGAGCUUUUCGUCGAGGACAUACUCUUUGUCCUCGUAGCGUGCAACGGUGCGAAUGUAUCUUAUCCAUUCGCUAAAGUUCGUACCAUCGAAGGUCACCUUUUGGCAAAGACUCGUUAAGGUGAAUGAGUUAGCAGCAGCGUUGUUUGCGUUGGACAUCUACAAAUAGAAAGGAAAAAGUUUGAUUAGAAUUUGGAUCCCUAAUUAAACACCCAAUAUGAAAAAUUAGGGCUAGGAUCCAACAACAUUAUUUACAUAUUAGAAAAGGGAUGCUGUAAUCCAACAUGCAAAUAAUUUGGAGGUAAGUGAAUGACGAUUCACUAAUUCUUCACCUAGAAAACAUAACCUUAAGUUUUAUUGAGAAUUCCUAGAUUUUCUUUGAGAUUCAUUGAAACUUUCAAUGGCAUGUUUAAUUCUCAAUAUGCCCCUCUAGUUUGUGACUGGGAUACCGAGGAUCACAAAACGGGUGUGAAUAACCAUGCAAAUCUACACAGUGCCUUCAUUGUUACAAUCACCCAUUCGAUGUGCUGGUAAACCACACAAGCUCCAUCAAACUAUGAUAAACAAUGAAUCACCCUUUGCUACUUUUGCUUAGAACCAAUUAGUGUGCCGGUAAACCACACACGCUCCACUAACUUCUUAGCAAGGGUGCAAAGUGCAAUUUCAUGGGAUUGCAUCAAUUCACUUUUCCUAAAGUAGCUAAGAUUGAGAAUUUUAUAAAUAGUUUAGUUACUUUAUAGAUUCAUUAUACUUAUUAACGAGGAGAGAGAGUUGCCCUAUCCUACCCGUUCGGCUAACGACCCUCCACCAGUCAAGCAAGCGGUAGGUGUGAGUGUACACCCAUUAAGCGCCAUUUUAUAGGCAGCAACCUUAUACCCACCUUAUAGGCCGGCUUUGUGAAUGAGGCCUACUAACGGUAAGACUAGCAUUUUAAUUUUACUUAUAUAUUUAUUAAUCUUUUAAUAAUAUCAUAGUAUAGGGUUGAAUUUUAAACUUGUAAAAUUCUAGGGGUUGAAAUUUAAAUUCUUCUAAAUUAAACUAUUAAUCACCAAAUUCAAAUUUCAAAACUUCGGGAUAAAUAUUGAACUUUUCAAAACAAUAGGGAUCAAAUAACAAAUAAUUCAAAUUAAACAAUUAAUUUCAUAAUUAUCUAUAUUUGACCUAAUUCAAUUUUAGUCAUUAGAUAAUUACCAAAUAAUCUUAAAUAGUCCAUAUUUAUCAUAUAAAUAAUUAAUAUUCAAAAAAUUGAAAUUAUCUAUUGUUAUGUCAAGGAUAAUCAUUAAAUUAGGUUAAAAUUCGGAUUUACACUUAAUAAAACGAUUUAGGUAUCAAUCCAAGACAAAAAUAGCAAUAAAAUCCCGAAUUAUCCUCUGUCUGACGUUGGGACUCGCCGAGUAGGGCCAACUCGCUGAGUCCAGACACUGACUCCUCGAGUUGGGUCGGACAGAGGUGAAGAAAAAUGAUUUUCAGCAAGCAAAACAGUUAAGCAUCACAUUUAAUUAAAGCCAAUCAUGGCUCUGAUACCACUGAUAGGUUUUAGACAUAAGAUCUUUCUUAUGUGCACAUACAACCCUAUAACUUGGAUCUAGGUUUCUCUAAUUGAACAUGCAACAUAUCCAAGACUUUCAUGGCUAGAUCUAAGGUAAACUAACAAUCAAAACAUAUGAAAACAGAUCUAGAAUCAUACCUUGAGUUACUUGCUUGAAACCUUCUUCUUCUUGAAGCUUAGAGUCACAAUUCUCACUCCUCUAAUGGCUUACAAACACCAACUAGCAAGAAGAUGAUUUGAGAGAGGUAAGGAAGAGGGAAAUCGGCUCUAGGGUUACUCCAAUAACAAGGUGCCGAUUUCCACAACCCCAAGGGUCUAUUUAUACUGUGAGCUCCUAGGGUUUCACCCCAAAACCCUAAUUGGAUAACUUAGCAUCAAAGCAAUCCAAUACCCCUUCUAGAUAAGGCCUUGGACGAUUUCUAGGUGAUCCACAUCCCUAAAAUCGUCCACCCCAUAUCCAUAAGGAUUCUUAGCUCAAAAUACAACUAUCACACAUUUGACAGUUUAUACCCUCUUUCUUCAAUUAAUCUCUUUAAGUCACCAAAUUAAUUCCUAAUUAAUUUAUGACUUAUAUUAAUCAAAUAAUAUUAUUAUUCCUUUAACA
rnacentral:lncRNA from 1 species